AUGCAGGUACUGAUACAGUAUAACUGAAGUGUUUUAUUGUCCUUCCCCCGGCUUGAAGCAUUUGAUACAUAACUAUCUCUGUCUGACUCCAUUCCACAGUAAGACAGAGAGGCUUGGUCUCAAACAU
ensembl:snoRNA SNORA63 Small nucleolar RNA SNORA63